GAAGAAUUGGGAUCCAUCAGACAAGGAAAGAAUUAGUCUUAGCAGGAAAGACUAGAAACAAACUUCUUUAAAAUUGUAAGGAAAAAAAAAAAACAUUUCGGUAUUAAUCCUCUGCUUCUUUUAUCCUUUUAUGUGGCAUCUUCAUUUGGGCCUUUGCCAUGAGCUAAGAGAAGGCUGUGCAUGGACACCAGCACUUUCAAUUCAAUAACCAUUUCUACACAUUGAGGUAGAUGUAACUAUGCAACAUUGGCUGCCGGCUUGUUGGGUUUUUUUGUUUGUUUGUUUUUAGUACCGGGGAUCGAACUUGGGUCCUUGUGCUUGUGAGGCAGGCGGCAGAACCACUGAGCUAAAUCCCUGGCCCUGGCUUGUUAUUUUUAACCAAGGAGGCUUGGUGCUGCCAACUGUUGCCUAGGACUGAUUGUGUCAACUGUGGCUCUCAAGAGGCCACUGCUUCUCUUAUUCCCUGUUGGUUCAGGAAGCCAUCCAGCUUUAAAGUUUGCCCUCUAAGAAGAAUCUUCUAGUAGGAUGAUGUAGUUCCUAUUAUAAAUCUAUUAACAGUUGCUGAGAGGCUGGAGUCACCAGAAUGGGUUCACUGCUGUGGAAAUUCACUAUUCACAGAAGGAAAUUAAAGAUUUCUGUUUUUGAGUGAAAGUCUGAGUUUGCAUCUUAGCUCAGAAUGAAACAGUAUGUUCCUGGCAAGGGUACAUCUUAAUGCUACACAAGAUAACCUUAGAAAUACAGGAUUUUUGAUCAUCAGAGGGCCUCAGAAUGAUUCAUGUGAUCAUUUACAAGAGGGGACCUGGGAGGGAGCUCUCAGCCUCACUUGGUGCCAAGAUGGUUCAAUUGCUCUCCACCACAGUGCGGCUCGCGAGGGAGCCUGCUUCAUUGUUAGCACAGCCUCAUUGGUGCUUGCUUCUCAAACCAAAACAGACUCGCAAAGGAAGGACUUCAUUAAAACAUCAAUUAUGCAAAGCCAGAUUUAACAAAUUUUAUUCCCUGAAGCUCUGGAGUCAUGAUGAUGGUGAUAAAGAAAGCAACUGACCUGGUACUGAGCUCAGUAUCUACCAGGCACUGUCCUAGGUGCCUGAUGCACAGGAACUGGUGUUAAUUCUCACAAGAACCCCUUAUACCCAUUUUAUAGAUGAAGAAACUUCCAAAGUGCAGAGAGACUUCCACAGUAUUACCCAGGUAAUGACUGGGGCAGAGCCAGGGUCUAGAACCUGUGCUUUCACCACUGCAAGGGACUGCAGUGUGACCCACACAUGUAUUAGGUGCAUAUUUGCAAACAGGAUGAUGUCUAUGAUGAACAGUAGUAUGGCAUGAAAUCAUUUUUAGUACUCGUUAUAAACUUACAGUACAUUUUGAAAAAAUAUGUUUGCUUAUUACAAAAUGAUUAAAAGUAAGCUGUUUAAACCAAAUGAAGGAAUUACACUGAAAAUGUUUUGUUUUUUGAGACAGGGACGCACUAUGUAGUUCAGGCUGGCCUUGAACUUCUAUGUAGCCCGUGCUGGCCUCCAACUCUUGGUGAUCCUGCUGCCUCAGCCUCCCCAGUGCUAGGAUUACAGGUGUGUGCCACCACACCCAUCCCAACCCUGAAAAUGAAUAUCAGAUAAAUACAUGAAAGAAAUGAGUAAUAGUUUUAGUUACAAAGCAAACUGAAGCUUUGUAAGUUAUAAUUCAAAUAUCUGUUAAAGUC
rnacentral:lncRNA from 1 species